AUUGAACGCUGGCGGCAUGCCUUACACAUGCAAGUCGAACGGCAGCACGGGUGCUUGCACCUGGUGGCGAGUGGCGAACGGGUGAGUAAUACAUCGGAACGUACCUUAUCGUGGGGGAUAACGCAGCGAAAGCUGUGCUAAUACCGCAUACGCCCUGAGGGGGAAAGCGGGGGAUCGAAAGACCUCGCGCGAUUAGAGCGGCCGAUGCUUGAUUAGCUUGUUGGUGGGGUAAAAGCCCACUAAGGCGACGAUCAGUAGCUGGUCUGAGAGGACGAUCAGCCACACUGGGACUGAGACACGGCCCAGACUCCUACGGGAGGCAGCAGUGGGGAAUUUUGGACAAUGGGGGCAACCCUGAUCCAGCAAUGCCGCGUGAGUGAAGAAGGCCUUCGGGUUGUAAGGCUCUUUUGUCAGGGAAGAAACACCGGCUCUAACACAGUCCGGGAAUGACGGUACCUGAAGAAUAAGCACCGGCUAACUACGUGCCAGCAGCCGCCGUAA
rnacentral:rRNA from 1 species